rnacentral:sRNA from 1 species
GUAAAAAAUAGCAUGUAUACAGGUAUGUAUAGAUAUUGAUCUGAGAUAUCAAAAACACAGUUGUUAGCUAAUGAGUAUAGAUGCCCUGUACACAUUUGUUUUGAUAUUAAUCAGAGAUAUCUGUUACAGAAGUAGUACAUAUAUUGAUCAGAUAUUAAUACAAAAGUCUGUACAUACUGAUUAGAUAUUAUGUACACAGUUUUAAAGUUACCUGAGUGUAUAGAUAUUGAUAUCACUCACACUGACAGUGGAAUAUUGAUCAGAUAUUAUGUACACAGGCGUUAAGACAUGAUGAAAGAUUUCACAUAUUACGAUACUGUUUAGAUAUUGAUUGAAGAUACUGGUACUAUGUUUUCAGAUGUAUAAAUAUUAACAAGAAAUAUUUUGUUCAUGCAUGAGUUGAUACUGCUUGUUGUUUUUCAUACUUUCUGUUAAAUGAAGCUUUUUCAUUAUCUCUU